ensembl:lncRNA
CCUCUGUUCAGUGAGCACUAACUGUGUGCAGGCACAGUGGCUGCUCCUGGCGAUUAUUCGGGGAGUGAUGUGAUGUGCCCCAUUUCCUCCCCAUGAGCCACACUGCAGAUUGACUCCUAAGUGUCCCGUGAAACAGCCGUGUAAAUGGCACAUUGAGAAGGCGGCGAUGCAGACGUGGGAGGCGGCGGAGGACAGACUCUGUGCUGCCUUCUCGCUCUGAUUUCAGCCGCUGCAUUGCCAGCUCUGCAUGCUGCAGGGUCCCAUUGCUGCGCCCAUGGUCCUGCUGCUCCCUGAAGGCAUUGUCUGUCCCAUCCCAUCGCUUCCCAAAGAGCAGUUCUGCGGCUUUCAAGGUCCUGAGGACCAGACCACGGCCACACUACCUUCCCACCAGGACUGCAGCAGUGUCCCCUUUGGAAGAGGUGUGCGUCCCCGCCAGCCCUGCUGGGGUCCCUGCAGGGAGCAGCAGCCGUCCCUCUGCCACGAGCAGCACUCUGAGCAGGACCCCAUCCCUGCAACAAAUGAGGAGCUAUCAGCACUCGGCGGCGUUCCCGAUGCAAACUGACCCAGUUUUCAAUGCUCUCCUCCCACCUGAGGAAUAGUAUAUGCCACAUUUGGAGUGAAACUGGGUCACUGUUGAACAAAGGUCACGAAAGAACACGAAAAGACUUUUCAGUCGGAAACCCCAUUUUCCACGGUCCCGAAUAAAGUUAUAAAUAGAGUGGCACAAAUGUGCACAGAGCGAAAGAGCCGCGUGUUUACCCGUACAGCCAGCUGAAAAAUCCAGCCUGAACCAAACGCCGGUUGCACCACAACUGUGCUUCCUGCGAGCUCACGGGGCUGGGGGGGGGGGGGGGGGGUCAGAGGGAGCAGCGAAGAACCUGCUUAGAAGUUGACCUUCUCCUGCUAAACCUUUGCCCCCUCCCAGCGUGGCCAUUGCUGCGGGAUGGGGGCAUUGCUGAGCACCCCCAGGGAACAGCCCGGCCCGGCAUCGCUCCGUCCCAUUGCUGUAGCGCUGAAUCAAAGCCCUCUUACAGUAACCGCCUCUGAUUGAGAACAUCCACUCACCAAAGGCUUUCGGUGCUCUGGUGGGGGAAGAAGAAGAGGAGAAAAACCCCAAACCCGUCCAUACACAGUGCCCCUGCAGCUGCCCCACACACCGUGACCCCAUAGCUGUGGGGUUCUGGUGCUGUCGGUGUGUCUGGCAGAGGUGUGCCUCCAUCCCGCUGCAUCCCACUGCAUCCCUCUGCAUCCCACAUCCCUCUGCAUCCCACAUCCCUCUGCCAGGCUCUGCAGCUCCUUCCAAACAAAGAGGGAUCUCUGGGCCGCCCUCCAUCCACCACCUCCCCUCGGUGGAAGCCUGCCCACGUCUUUUUGUGCAAAUCCUUCCCUCUCGGAUGCUAUUUGAUGUCUUCAAAGGGGCUAUUCUUAUGUGGAGAAAAGAGGGCGAGCUCAGGUCUGACAAGGCUCUUCGCUCGCAGCGCAGCUAUUUUUUCACUCGGAAGAGUGCCAGUUUGGGAUUUCAAGACAAAAAAAGAAAUAAAUAAAAUACAUAUAUUCUCUUUUUCACAGGCUGAUAUUUGGGUGAAGAACUCGCAAAGUUGGGACACUGCAUCACCACGGGGAUGGGGAGGGAGGAAGGGGAGUGAGCACAUGGCUCUG